rnacentral:rRNA from 1 species
CUGGCUCAGGAUGAACGCUGGCGGCGUGCUUAACACAUGCAAGUCGAACGGAAACUACUCGCUGAAGCGAACUCGCUCAAUUCUUGAGUAGUUUUAGUGGCGGACGGGUGAGUAACGCGUGGGUAACCUGCCAUGUACUGGGGGACAACAGUUGGAAACGACUGCUAAUACCGCAUAAGCGCACAGGACCGCAUGGUCUAGUGUGAAAAACUCCGGUGGUACAUGAUGGACCCGCGUCUGAUUAGCUAGUUGGUGAGGUAACGGCCCACCAAGGCGACGAUCAGUAGCCGGCCUGAGAGG